GGAUGCGAUCAUACCAGCACUAAAGCACCGGGAUCCCAUCAGAACUCCGCAGUUAAGCGUGCUUGGGCGAGAGUAGUACUAGGAUGGGUGACCCCUGGGAAGUCCUCGUGUUGCAUCCC
rnacentral:rRNA from 1 species